ensembl:lncRNA
AUGCCACCUAAAAAAAAAAAAACCAAAAAACCGAAAACAAACGACAGCCACCGCUCGGCAUCCCCGUGCGGCCCCUCAGCAGCGCCCGGGAGCGCUGCGGCCGCGGCUCCCCUCACGGCGGGGCGCGGCGGGGCCUNNNNNNNNNNNNNNNNNNNNNNNNNNNNNNNNNNNNNNNNNNNNNNNNNNNNNNNNNNNNNNNNNNNNNNNNNNNNNNNNNNNNNNNNNNNNNNNNNNNNCGGGGGCAGGGCCGGAGCCUUUCCCGGCCAUGGCGGUGAGGGCGGGCCCGGAAGGGGAGCAGCCAGCGCCCGCCUGACUUCCCCGGCUGUCGGGCGGGGCGGCAGCGCGGGCAGCGGGCACCAUGCUGCAGUUCUUGCUUGGUUUUACUCUUGGCAACGUGGUUGGGAUGUAUCUGGCUCAGAACUAUGAGAUUCCUAACAUUGCAAAGAAGCUGGAAGAUUUUAAGAAGGAUGUGGAAGCCAAGAAGAAACCUCCUAAUGACAAGUCCUGAAAGAGCAAUGUUCCCCAGGUCAACUCUGUGUGUGCACCGAGGAUGCAAUUUUACCUUUCAGGCAGCAAAGGUCAAGUAGAGGGUUGGCAUGCUUAGUCUCCUAGAACUGGAAUAUCCUUCUUUUGAAAGGGCAGUGGUGAACUUUUCCUGGGACUGAUUUUCAAAGGUUUCAGAAUUUGGAUUUGCAACUGAUACACGACUGGAUGAUAUCAUUUGUAUUUUUCAGUAUUUCUUUUCCUAAUAUUUUGUAACCUGUUUUUACCUGAUCUGACUGGAGUGCUUUUGGUCCUGUUACAAUGUGUUCCUCACACUUGAUAAUACCCUAGCUCUUAGAACAGCACAAAAGAAAUUAAAUGCAUCAAGAAGUAACUUUCAGAGUUUCUUGUCAUUUGUUGUGAGCAGUGAUCAUUCACUAUCCUUCAGCCACACACACACACAAAGCAAAAAAAGCAGCUAUUAAAUCUCCUGGUGUGUAAGAAAACACACAUUCUAUUGUCUUCUGCUUGAAACCAUAAUUCUGCAAAAAUCCUGUUGUGAAUUCUGAAAAAAAGGUUGCAAUGAUUUGAAUAUAUGUCAGUUUUAUUAAUUCAAGAAUCUAUUAAAUAAUUUUUUUCCCUUAAAAUGGAAGAAUUCUAUCAACUCUGUAACAUGGCUUAAAUGACAGUCACCUUGACAGUCUUUCUCAGGACAUGAAGAACAAAGAAAAGUGUCAGGAAAAUAUUCUUGCUUUUAUUGAGAAUGCCUGGUGAUGGACUGCUCCAGAGAAGCACAGAGAAUAACCUCUAUUUGUUCAGGCUCUAGAUUAAAGCAUACCUAAAGUGCUUGUCCAUUAAUGUUUUAAUUAGGAUGAGGAUUGUGCCUUCAAAGUGGUUUGUCCUUUUACUAUGUUUUCAUUCUCAUCCUAGGAGAACUGUAGAGCAUAUGGUCUGUAUUCCUCUCAGAAGAGACUAAAUCAGAAUAUGUGCUUUGAUCUCUAAUGGGAGUUUAGUCCAUUAGACAGGUCUAGAGACACUCAGAAGGAAAAGAACCCAAGCUCUGGGCACUAAUUGUCUUGCUUUUUCAGUGACCUGUGCUGUUUGAUAUAAACAUAGCAUCAAAGCUCUUUAAAGUAUGGAACUCUCUAUGUAUCCACUGUAAUUUUGACCCUUUACCCCAAAGCCUUUAAUUUGGAUAUAUCUGAGUGGACUCCUAGUUCAGGAGUUCUCACUGGAUCAGUAAGGAGACAUUUACAGAGUAUCAUGUACCAAAUGCAUCCUUUGCCAAAGUUUGGUGGUGCCAGAGUUCUUCCACAAUGCACUCCUGAAACAGAGGAAGGUAUUCCUCAGGCAAAGAUUCUCCUUCUUAAGCAAUAUAAAUAUAUCUAAAGAAUAUUUCACCUGUAAUUUUAAAUCCUUUCACCUCUGCCCUGAAAUGUGUAGCUGACAUAAAAGCUUUCAGUCUUUGCAAAGGGUUAUUUGUCCAGUUUAAAAGUCAGGCAAUCUUAGUAGUGAUGCAACCAAUUUUCUCUUCAGUAACCCCAAGAACCUCUGACAUGGAAGAAUGGUUGUAGGACCUAACCCCAGCUAUCAGAAAAUAUGUGGUAGCAGCAUGUGUGGAAGAUACCCAGAAUGUGCUUGGUGAAGGGAGUUCCCUACUGAAGUACAAUUAUGUUUAGCUUUUACUGAGUUAGUGCUGUAUGUUCUGCUUCUUGCAAGAGCUUUCCACUACCUUUCACAGAAUUCAGACCUGACUGAAGGAAUUUUCUUCCAUGCACAAAAAUGUUUCCAUAGAGUGACAGUGCUGCACAGCUGUUUUGGUGCUUUCAUGAACAAGAUGAACUUAGAUUUCCCCCAACUUCCUCUCCCUCCCCUCCCUUUCAUAUUCUUGAGCAUUGAAAAAUAUUGUCCUUAACCCAUUUUUUUUUCUUUGCUCACCAUAUAAAAUUAUAUUAGUGUUUAAAAUUGGAUUAUUUCUUUCCUUAAACAUUCUUUAUGUUCUUCUCUUUCUUUACAUGGAGAUGAGGAGUGAAAUAGUGUUCCAAAUCUUGGUGUUUGUUGCCAAACAGGCCAGUUACUGUAAAAGAGUUUUUGGAGCUGACUCUUUCAGCUUUGCAUCCCAAACAGAUGUUAGGAUUUCUUUUUUCCUAUCAUAUUAGGAAGUGAGAAGCUGCAGAUGUAAAGCUGUAGAAAAAAUAUAUGUUCAUUAAUAUUGAAGAAAGGAUUUCUGAGGUGUUUCACACUGUUUGCAACACUUUCCCUUUUAGCUCAAGCUAGGUUUUUUUCUUCCCGCAUAAUAAUUAUCCAGAUGUUAUACAUCUGGAUAAUGUUAUAGCACAGCUGAUGUGGACUUUGCAACUACUAUAUAACACAUUUUGCCUAGCCUGAGGUUAUCCUAGGUGAUCCUAAAAUUUAACCUUAGCUUUCAGAGGGCAGAGGGUGGGCACAGAUAAUGACUGCUUGAUGCAGGUCUUGCAUCUGGGGGCUCAGAGUGCCUUGGAUGCACUGGUGUCAUAGCAGGGCACAAAAGAUGGAUGCUCCAUGAAAUUACCUAGGAACAAAUUUCCCACUUAACACGGGCUUUGUGAAUAUCUGCCCAUUUCAAAUGCCUAUGUGGGUAGCUCAAAUUGCCAACUAAAAUAUGCAGGCUUCCUUCCUUUGCUGAAAAACAGUUGUGUUCAUGUUUUCAUUAUUUUGAGACGUAUUCUGGAGAUGAAGGUUCAAAGCAAAAUAGGAGGAAAGGAAUAUAUGAACUACUAACCGACUUCUAAAAUAUUUACUGUGGAUUGAGAGUAUUAUGCUGUUUGGAAAAUGCUGCCCUAAGGCUCUUCUGCCAUUAAACAGUCAAGGGUUAAUAACCAAAAUAAACAAAAAGCCAGAUAGCA